UAUAAAUAACUUAAUGGUGACAGUACCAUUUGACAGCUGUCAAUGAGAUUUGGUAAACUGGGUUAACUGUCAGAGAUAUACAAGAACAUGAAGGGAAAAAUAAGUGCACAGGGACAUGCAAGAAGCAUUGUACUCCAUGUAUAACCCUAAGCAAUUCUUUCCUUAUAUGAAUAAAAACGAUAUUGAACGGAAGUUCAGUGCAGGCUGAAGUUAGCCACACAUUUAGUGCACUCCAACAGGUGUCGGGAACCGAACCUACCAGAGCACCUGAUGAAGUACAAUAGGCAUGUGACAGUUUGCGAAUCUGACAGAAAACUGCAAUGAACUUUCAAAAUGGUGGCCAGACGGUGGAAAAUUCCCGUUAAGACAGAGGGCGUUCGCGGACACUAUUCUCUCUAGAUAUUUUUUUUAUCAUGAUGUCGUGGCUGGUUGUUGUACGGCACCAUACCUCAGCGCGCGCUACUUCAGGUACCUGACUAGUUGAAAGUUAAAAACACAGUCCAAGUACCGAAGUAACACGCGUUGAAGCAGGCGCCCAUAUUCUCUAGAGUCCAAUGUUAGAAAGAGAGACUGAAUAAGGCAGAGAGGAAUGAGAGAAAGGCUAAAAAAAAUAAUUAAAAAAUAAUAUUAAUAAUUUUCAACUUCAGCGUAUGAGGCGAAUUUUAGAAAAUAGAAAGUAUGUGGCCUUAUUCCAAGGUUUUGCCAAUAAAUUAGCAAAUUGGACACAAGGCCGUCACCGGCGGCAACGCACACACACUUAUAAGUGAGCGAGUGGAGAACACACUUACACAUAGCCACGUGACGUCACUACUAUCGAAAAGAAACCGGAUGAGUGAUUCGCCGGAAAUUGAACCAAGAAACAUAUAUACGUGGGUAUGUAUACAUCUGUCUCCCUCUUGUAGCCGCACUGGGUGGUGGUAAUUUGGUAUAUGCCGAAUAAUGAUUACGGGAUGGUCGCUGCGAUAUAUCUUUGGGUUCGGUUCACCGCACACCGUGACUUUUCGUUCCGAAGUAAAAUUGUAUUUUCGAGUUGCAAUUCAUUCUCUUUAUCCCUCUCCAUUCUCUCUUUCUCUCUACUUCCGUUUCAAUGCUUUGAAUGGUCUUGGCAAAGAAGAAAUGAAAAACCACUGCAGAGGAUAUGUGAGGAUGUGCGCUGCUGCCUAGUAGAUCGGAUGCCGGAUUCGUACUGACUAGAGUUCGGCGAUUGGUGUGCGCUGGCGAAUGUACGGAAUAUUUGCCACUAGGCGCUGCGUGUUCAAUCUGCGCCGAUGGUGGUGGGGAGGGGCGAUCGGGGGUGGUAGUCUGUCGGUCACCAAUGGAGGCGUGCGAAUCGUCCGAGGAUGGCCGAGAGGAACCGAGCCGACGCGGCAGGCAUGGAACGAACCCGUCUGGGUCCUUAACCUAACUUAACGGCCGCGACCGUCUGCCUCCCUCCCCUUUGAAUCGACGGCAGCACGGCACGCUCGAAAACUCUCCCCGGUCUCUCGCACAUACCACAUCCACAUAUUUAUUUAUACUUGUAUUUAUACACACAUUAUAUGUUAUAUGGAAGGAAGAAGGCCGGAGGAACAAACGAAAUCCGCGUGCUGACGUCACUGGACGCCCCCGUGUCCAGUUGCUAAGGCGAUCGCGGAGCGCCCCGCCAAGGUCGUCGGAAGGACGCGCAUUCCUCACCGGCCGCAGCCCUAUAUGGCAGUCAUACUCACCAAUUCGCCAAAACAUCUCACCAUCUCUGAUUCUUCUUGAACUGCUUGAGUUGCUGCCGCCGAUGGAUCCAGUAAACUGCAAUCGCCACGUCUCCAAACCCAACCAACGGCCGACGAGAGAAAGAUCCAUUCAUUCACUCGCUCGUUUUUUUUUUUUGGUAAUAAUUUAAAGGCGAAAAAAUAUUUGAAGCGAAUCGAAUAAAACUCUCGCUCUCCUUCCAUCUCCCUGAUAAGAUAGCAAUUUGCAUACACGCACGCACGCAAAUAUAUUGUAACUGAACGAAAAUAGAAAUAAAUAAUAAAAAUAGAAAGGAUAUGACUGUUAAUGAAUAUAUUUUUUUCCAAGAACGAGAUGGUUGUUUUCGCGGGGAAGAGGCGGAGAAGGAGAAUAUUCGCGAUGCCCACUCCAUUUUUUCGCCGGUCGUCGGACUAUUUCUGAAAUCCGGUAAUCCUUGACUGGCGCUGCCGGCCAAGGAACAAAGGAGCUUCGAAGUCGCACGUUUCGGGGGGCGGCGGCACGCAAAUUGGCUCUCCUCGAAAUAGAGAGGCGUCCUCCUCUAUUUGAAUAAUAUCAUAUAUAAAACCACACGAACAAAGAAAUCUGAUACCGACCGGACGUAUCUUCCUUUUUUUUUAAAUUCGAAGACGUUUAUACAAGAAACAAAUGAUCUCUCUUGCACCGUCUCAAUUCUUCCCGGCCGACGGUCAUUGAAUAUGUGGGACGAUGUUUGUUCUCAUCAGCAUUUUAUUGUUGUUGUUGCUUCUCGCGUGAGAAAAGAACGUUUCGCCGAAAUUGUUCUCAUGUUUAUUUAAGUUGUUUCUUUUUUAUCUUGCCAUUUUGGAGACUCGACACAUUUAUAUAAAUAUAUAGAGAGAGAAAGUGAAUUCAUUUAUCUGAGUCUGCGAUAAUACAAAAGCCGAUAUGGAAAUGUUUAGUUGGAACCGGAGAGAAAAGAAAACAUCGAUCACUGUCCCCAAUUGUGUGGAAUUUCCGUUAUACGUUACAGUAUAUACGUGGCCAAAGAUUAGGCGAAAUUGCAAUCGGAAAAGAAACAAGCCUAACUCGAAGAAACUAAUAACAUUUCGCAAUGUUGCGUAAUAAUGGGGCGCGGAUGGGUUUUCUUUUUUUGUUGUUGUGUUGUUCGGUGCGCGCUCGUGUGGGGCGGGGGUGGAGCGCCGCCGACGUCUAGACGGCGGCAUUGACGUAGGGUAGGCGCGGGGGGUUGCUUCAGGAUACGGUGGAGGGGUGGCGUUUGGUCUCGCGUUGGGAAAGGCCAGGGCCAGACGGGAAGCGAAGAGGGAUGCGCCGCCGCUACUGCCUCCUCCUCUUUAUCCGCCACCCCUCAUGCGACGUGCACUCGCCGACCGUUGUUGAACCGAAAAUCGAUAAAUUCGUUAAUAAUAGGUGCCACCCCCUGACAUCGAAUCUGCCCGUCCUUCGGCCCGUCAGCUGUUCUCUCUAGAUUGCACAAUAUUUCAAACGCUUACCUAUCUUUUUCCGCGACUUACAAGAGGACGAUGUGUAAUUUUAAUAUCCCAAGAAAUCUCGAUGCACAUUUGUGUCCAUUGGGUUGUCGAAGUUUUGGAAGUUGCUGACUUAGCAGCAGCGCACGUUGCACACGAUGAUCCCAGAUGCAUGCUGCAGAGGUGGUCCACAGACUGCUGUUGCUGUUCCUGUAGUUAUCCAUCCACCGGUUGCUGGUUGUUAAUACGAUCGCUUCGGGCAAGCAAACAGUGGUGUCUGAUGGCCUGCUGCUGUGUCGUGGACGUCGAGAAGAAGAGGAGGCCGUUCACUUCGCCUUCGACCUCCUCUAACCGCACCGACUGGUGUGAGACGUUCGGCGACGGUGCGUCGCUCUUAUCUACCACGCCCGUUCGGUUCGGUUACUAACUGGUUGCCAUCCGACUAUACGACGGGGACCGUAACCGUCGGCCGGAGGAGGGUAGGAGGGGGCGCGAAUGCACGCUCUGCGUAAUGCAUCCAUCCAUCCAUCCCACACCAUACCACCCUUUCUACGAACCCGACUUUUCAUUUCCACCCUUCAUCUACCACCGUUUCAUUCCGCUCACUCAUCCAGACUUUUUUUUUUAUUAUUUUGUAGCAAAAUUACACCAUAUUCAAUAAAUUUA